AUUAUAGCAUUUACAUCAUCUUCACCUCAGAACACUGUCAGCUACCAGUGGGCGCAGACUGCCUAUGUGGAUCACCACGACGGGAUCAAGCACAGCAAUAAACUAAACAGAUAGACACAAGAACUUUCAAAAUGGAAAACGCCAGAAACAUCGCAUUUAAAGACUUUGGCAAGAGAGAUGGCAUGACUACAGGCCAAGUUGCUGAUGUCUUCACAAAAGUCGCUGACACUUACGAUGAGGUGUGGACAACCCGAAAUCACAGAGGCCAUAUAUACGUAGCCGAGGGUGUGGCUGACUACUUUCAGGCGGAUGUGAUGGGUUUUGUGAGAAUCCUUGAUGUUGGUGCUGGCACAGGAAUGUUAGCAGAGCAGUUGUGGACAAGAGGAUUUAGGCAAAUAGAUGGCCUUGAUCCAUCGACUGGUAUGAUGACGGAAGCAAUGAAGAAAGGCGUGUACACAGAUUACUACCUGGAGUUCAUGGAUGGACACACCAUUGGAAAACUGGCCACAGACAGCUACGACGGUUUGGUUGCUGCUGCUGCUUUCAACACAGGUCUUUUACCUUGUGCUGCUUUACUGGAGAUGGCCCGACUGGUGAAGCCAGCAAUAAAACGACUGGGGACAGGAGAAAUGGGCUGAAGGCAUUGUAGCAAUCUAGGCAAACGAACCUGGGUCGUAACCGCCAUCCCCUGAAGGAGGUCUGAUAUGCUUCGGGAUCCCUCACGCUUGCUUCACUGACGUAAAGGAAUACAACAACAGACUGGAACCUUUGAUGCAGCGGAUGGAACUGGAUGGGAUGUGGAAACUGUUGGACAAGAA
rnacentral:misc_RNA from 1 species